rnacentral:sRNA from 1 species
GGUGGCGUGCUGCUCAGCCCGUUAUUGCUGUAUGCGCUGCUGGCACUGCUGUUGACUGGCGUGUUGCGCAUGGGCCUGCAGCGUGUCGGCAUGGCGCGAUGGAUUUGGCAUGAAGCGCUGUUUGAUUGCGCGCUG